ACCAUAGGUUUUAUUCUUUCUUGAGAUUUCAAAGCCACAUCUUGCCCACCUUUCAACUUACUUUUGUUUUAAGGCUUUCAGGUAAAAUAUAUCUAUUUUAAUUUUGUGUUUAGCUCUUCCACCUUUGUGCUUUUUCAACAGAUCUCUCCAGUCAGAAAUGAAGAAGGAACCAGAACUUUUAGAGCACUUCGACAGAAAGUCAAGACCAAAAAACGCCUCGGAGCCGGAACACAAAAAAUGUGCAGACUACAGUUUUAUGUUGAGCCUACUACCACACGCACACACACAUGCACACAUACACACACACUUGAACACUUCAAACUGGCCUCAUCAUUUCACAACGGCAGCCUUUCCGCUGCAAAAACAAUGUGUUAGCAUUCUAAGAAAACCCUAAAUACUGUAGUCGUAAAUGUUGAUGUGCAGUUUGCUUCAAUGGUUUGCUGACAGACUGACCCAACUCAAAACCUUUUUGCUGUCACAAACUCGACUUUUGUUUUCAUUGCGCAUUUCCAUAACUUGCAAUCAUUUAACCCAACAGUGUGAAAAGGACCACCCAUGUAAAAUUAAAUGUCAGGAUUGCCGUGCUUGCUUUUGUGCUGCGGUUCUUCUGUUAUACACAAGCAGAACACAUUGCUGCCAAAGGAAGGACAUAGUUGCAGCAUCUGACCAGCAGAGGGAGACCAACUAUUUGACUAUACACAAUUUGCAGGCCGACAUGAGAUCCCUCCCAUUUUCUCAGUGACAAAAAUAACAUCUCCUGUUACUUUCAUGGCUAUGGAGGAAACUCCAGAAGGAUGGUAUGAAAACCUCCUGCCAGCCAGAACUAAAUGUAACAGAAGAAUCUGUGAGAUUUUACCCUCAUUCGGUUACAAGAAGAUUCAUCUUUUCAGCUGUAAAAUCCCACGUAUUUGCUGACAAUCGUCUCAUAGUAAACCAUCCGGAGUGAUCCAAUGAAAGCUAGGACCGACUCCAACCUUCAUGUGACCCUGAACAGGAUAAUGUUUUCAACCAAAAUGGAAGGAUUUUUCUGGUGAGGUGCAGAACCAUUGUGAGGCCUGGCCACAUAAUACAAGCCAGUAUAUUUUUAAUGCAGAGGACAAACCUCAGUUAAUUGUAUCUUUAACCUACAUACAGGUCUGUAGUAUAAAAAAAUCCCAACCACUGAGUGGCUGACAGCGUCACUCCCCCGCACACUACAGCACCGUUCCUUGUUGUUUCGAUGCCGAGGGCUGUCAAUGACCAAUCCAAGUCAGUCGCCAGGACCUUGGUGGUCUGGAGAGUCUCUGAGGUGGCACGGCCACAGGCCUGGAGAGUAAACAGGACGCUGGGGGAUGGAGGGAUGGAGGAAAAGGGAUUGAAGGAUGAGAAUGUGAAGUCGGCAGCGUCUCUGCCCUGCCUGGGGAAGAGGAAAGCCUGUAAAGCCUGCAGAUUCAGACUGGGCUGCAGAGAGACAGAUUCAGAGGCAGUCAUCUGGGUUUUGUCUCUAUAUUUAAUGUGCCAAAAGGGAAGGCAGGGAUAAAGGCUGUUCCACCAGGAUAUAUAGGGGGAAGAAACUCAGCGCCACAUGGGAAGCCACAAUGCUAAUAGCCAGUUGGAAAAAGAAAAGCAGGCAGAAACUCCUGCUGGAGAAGAGGACACUCCAGGAAACAAAAACCACUUUCUAAAUUAAGAGAGACUUUUAUAUGAUUCGUUUUACGUAUGAGGUUGAAAAUGGGUCAGGCAUCCACAGAUAAUCUAAAUUCAAUGAUAUAUUUCAGAGUCAUGUGCUUUCCUUUUCAUGGAUUCCUCUGAUUAAUAAUAAAAACCACAUUGACUUGCCUUCGCCAUACCCCAGAGCUCCAAGAAAAGGUGUGAGGGGUGGUUUGAAUGCUUAUUAACUUCCUCUUUUUUAACAUGAUGAAAUCACCUUAAAAAAUAUGUAAGGAAAGUGUAAAAAGCAUUCCACCAUUGAAAAAUGUAUAUAUUUCAUAAUCACUAUUUAGGAAAGAAAGAAAUCUGUGCAUGAUUAUUAGAAAUAACCAUGGUUUUAAAUUCUUAACUAAAAAGGUUUCAAUAUUUAAUAAGGAAUCUGGAAAUAUGGCCUGCAAAGGUAAUGAUGGGAAAUUUUCAAAAUAAAAUGCAGUUAUGCAGUUUAAGGCUGCAUAGGUUUACAGUAUCAGUUAAAUUUGCAAAAAAAGCUAACAUACCUGGAAGAAUUCAUAAAUAUAACAAUUUAGCAUCUAACUAAGGUUACAACAGGCGUGUUUUGUAUCCAUGCUCCGAUGUAAUCCAAAGCGAAAAGAAGGAAUGUUACCUUAAUUAAUAGCCUUUAAAAUAUUUGUAGAGGGAAGAAGAAGACAGAAAAAAAAGACACAAAAAGCAGCUGUGUUUCAUAAAAGACUGAGUAGAAUUUAAAACAUGUUUCAUUUGAGGACCCAUGAAUUACCUCUUCUGUUUUGCGUAUGUGUGUGGCCUCAAUGCCGGCCUUUCGUGUGCUGGAGUGCAGAGCAUGAAAUGGCUCUAGAUUGGCUGUGUUUGCCCUCGGAGGACCGCUCUUUCGAGAUCAUAUCCUAAUCCCUCAGAGAGGCCGUCCACAGGGUCACCGCUUAUUCAAUUAGUCUGAAGCAAGGCCUCUAAACAUGGCAGGGUGAGAAAGAGUGUGAGAAAGUGUAGAAACAGAGGGGUGGUGUCUCCCAUACAAGUUUGUUCGAUGGAGGUGAUGGUUUGAGACCUUUACUCCCUCAUCCUGAAACAUCCCAUCUCAACACGUCCAAAGCUUUCUCAUAAAGCUCUGAUUAACAUCAUAUAAGAUCUGAAAAAUAAAAUGGAGAUGGAAAUAUUUGAAUAAUUGCAGAAGUUGUUGAUGAAUAAUUCUUCACAAGGGGGGUAACCAACCAGCACCUUUUCAGUGAGGAAUGGUAAAAAAGAGUUUACAAAGAGAAAAACAUCGUUUUUUUUAGAGCUAAGCUUAAAACCAAAUAAAAUCACCCACAAUUUUUUGUUUACUUUUAAGUUUUGCUUAUUGAUUUUUACAGAAAAGAAUAAAAAAAAAAAGGUUUAGAAAACUACAACAGAAAUAUUUCAUCAACAACAACUAUUUUACAAAAGCUUUUGCUAGAAAAUGAAUAAUUUCUUCACUAAUGGAUUAUUCUAAUAUUUAACUAAUAUAUUAACUAUUAUACUUUUUGCAACGUUUAGAAUCUAUGAAAACUAAAAUACAAAUAACCUUUGUGCAAAAAUAACACUGUAACAGAAAAAAACAAUAACUAAAGCCAUGAGCAGUGUUGGAUAGCUUACAGGCAGUACUUACCCCUGCCCUCGCUGCCUCCUUAUACCCGCCCUCACUGGCUGAGCGGCAGCUACAAGCUCCUGACUCUCCUCUUCUGCCUUUGCCACCACUCUCAAAGCUUCAUGUGACAAAUUUAUUUAAAAAGAAAAAACAGUAUUUUUUUCAAAAUGGCACCUUUUCUGUUGGUUUUAUCUCCAUGGCAACCAUUUCAUUUUUCAGUCGUCUGGGGGUGACGAACGUGUCUCUGUAAAUUUUCAGAAGAGUCCAAAAAAAUAAACUUUUGGAUUUCCUUGGUAA